rfam:Macaca mulatta chromosome 2, whole genome shotgun sequence.
UAUCAGGCUUUUUUAAAAGCCAUUCAACAAGUCUCUAGGAAGUUC